UGGAGUGUAGUGUAGUGGUCUGAGCAUUAGACUAUGACCCUGGAAAUCAGGGUUCGAUUCCCUGCUCAA